rnacentral:piRNA from 1 species
UUCUUUUGUUUGCCUCCUUUCCCUGCUGG